CAGGGAUCUCGCUCUGGGAUUCUGGCCCGGGUUGGUAUGUGGUGACUGAUCCAGCUCAAACCAGUCCUCGGGUAAGAGUAAGGCCCAAAGGAAGCCCGGACUCCUGCCUUAGAGCUGGUCCCCGGAGGAGGCAUGAGGAGUAGGGGCUGGCUGUAAGAGAAGGGGCUGGAGUUGGAGAAGAUCACCCCCAGAUCAGCCUGCGAGAGGGAGAGGGCGCUCCACGGAGGGGGCACGCUGAUCUGCGCAGGCAGAGAGACUGGCGGGGGCAGCUGUGCACCAGCUUCAGAGAGGUGGAGGAGACACCAAGCUCACCUGUGUUAACAAGAAGCAGGCCCAGAAAAAGCACCAGCAGCUGCAGCCAGCGUUCCAUUUCAAACUGACAGAACGGAGAACCA